GACCCUCCCUCCCAGACCCUCCCACCUCCUGGACAGCUCACUAAGAAUGCAGCUUCUUAGUGAUGCUGUCCAGGAGGUGGGAGGGUCUGGGAGGGAGGGUC
rnacentral:miRNA from 1 species